GUGCUCACUUCGGCAGCACAUAUACUAAAAUUGGAAUGAUACAGAGCAGAUUAGCAUGGCCCCUGCACAAAGAUGAAUGCAAAUUUGCAAAAUACAUAAAGAACUCAU